rnacentral:lncRNA from 1 species
GAUGAAACAAGACCUAUUUGAAUACCAUGUAAUCAUUCUGACAGCCUUGGCGCAUAGAAAUAUCCGACAGGAGAAUUUGACUGGGCUUUUAGAAUGU